UACGAAGGGGGCUAGCGUUGUUCGGAAUUACUGGGCGUAAAGCGCACGUAGGCGGAAUGUUAAGUCAGGGGUGAAAUCCCGGGGCUCAACCCCGGAACUGCCUUUGAUACUGGCAUUCUCGAGUCCGGAAGAGGUGAGUGGAAUUCCGAGUGUAGAGGUGAAAUUCGUAGAUAUUCGGAGGAACACCAGUGGCGAAGGCGGCUCACUGGUCCGGUACUGACGCUGAGACGCGAAAGCGUGGGGAGCGAACAGG
rnacentral:rRNA from 1 species